rnacentral:siRNA from 1 species
UAUGUGGAUGUCUUAAUUCGCCUU